rnacentral:rRNA from 1 species
UNUGAAGUUAAAGGCUGUGGCUUAACCAUAGUACGCUUUGGAAACUGUUUAACUUGAGUGCAAGAGGGGAGAGUGGAAUUCCAUGUGUAGCGGUGAAAUGCGUAGAUAUAUGGAGGAACACCGGUGGCGAAAGCGGCUCUNUGGCUUGUAACUGACGCUGAGGCUCGAAAGCGUGGGGAGCAAACAGGAUUAGAUACCCUGGUAGUCCACGCCGUAAACGAUGAGUGCUAGGUGUUAGACCCUUUCCGGGGUUUAGUGCCGCAGCUAACGCAUUAAGCACUCCGCCUGGGGAGUACGACCGCAAGGUUGAAACUCAAAGGAAUUGACGGGGGCCCGCACAAGCGGUGGAGCAUGUGGCUUAAUUCGAAGCAACGCGAAGAACCUUACCAGGUCUUGACAUCCCUCUGACCGCUCUAGAGAUAGAGUUUUCCUUCGGGACAGAGGUGACAGGUGGUGCAUGGUUGUCGUCAGCUCGUGUCGUGAGAUGUUGGGUUAGGUCCCGCAACGAGCGCAACCCCUAUUGUUAGUUGCCAUCAUUCAGUUGGGCACUCUAGCGAGACUGCCGGUAAUAAACCGGAGGAAGGUGGGGAUGACGUCAAAUCAUCAUGCCCCUUAUGACCUGGGCUACACACGUGCUACAAUGGCUGGUACAACGAGUCGCAAGCCGGUGACGGCAAGCUAAUCUCUUAAAGCCAGUCUCAGUUCGGAUUGUAGGCUGCAACUUGCCUACAUGAAGUCGGAAUCGCUAGUAAUCGCGGAUCAGCACGCCGCGGUGAAUACGUUCCCGGGCCUUGUACACACCGCCCGUCACACCACGAGAGUUUGUAACACCCGAAGUCGGUGAGGUAACCUUUUAGGAGCCAGC